AAGACUAUACUUUCAGGGAUCAUUUCUUUAGUUGUUGAUCUGAGAAAUGUGUUUCUAAAGAGUUUGGUCUUGCUGUCCACGAUGAAGAGUUCAGAUGUUUCUUUCAGAGCAGGAAACUGGCAGGAAGACUUCAUUUCUUCUCUGCUGUUGAAGAUUGUUCAGAGUUUCUCCCAGACUCUCUGAUGGAGGAAACAUGAUCUGAGUGGA
rnacentral:snoRNA from 1 species